rnacentral:lncRNA from 1 species
AACCGACUCACUAUUUAAUGAGGCAUCUCAAGUUUUGUUUGUAAACGGUCGAGUGUACGGAUACACAACUUGUUUGCUGAAAUAUUGCUAGGGGAAAUAUUUCUCCCUGUUGCCUAUAUGUAGCCUGUGGUUGAUAGACCCUGACACUACAGUUACAGUGGUUGAAUAAGUCUAUCACUCUGAUGAGCUUUGUCCACCUUCUCCAUCCGAUGAGGUACAACAGCUAAAUCCAAUACUUGGUGAGUGCUGCGGAUGGGCCGGUGAGGAGUGUACCUGUCUGCCUUCGAGGCUCAGAGAUCUGGCUGAUGGCCUAAUGCUGGGAGGCAUGAGGAGGAAAUGGACAGCAGAGAAGGCGUUGGUGUUAUGAAGCAAGCGCACUCCCAUUGUCUCAUCCCAUAUAAGUUAGUAAGUCCCUUUCCAUCCUCUGAAAUAGCAGUGAAGCGCUGAAAGAAACAGCUCAAGUGGAACAGCAUGGAGCCGAGUAACAAG